AGAGCGGUGACAUGCAAUGCAGAACAGUCUUGUGCAAAUCCAGUGCCUUUGUCGAGAGAUCGCUGAUUCAUGUCAUUCAGUUGAAUCCCUAUGAGAACCUGAAGACACAGGGAUUUUUACCCUUGCUGUGCCUACGGGGAAACUGGACUCAGGAUCAAGACCAACACCUGUUAAGUGGCAGGAGCGUGAUUCAGACUCUACACGAGGGCUCCUGAAGUGAGAGCUUUUGCUACAACCCGUCUCAGGAGCAGCUGAAUUCCAGCUCUGCAGAGCCCAGCCCCAUCUCUACUCAGCUAUGGGGUUGAAGACCUUGCCCAUGAGGAUUGCUCGUUGAGUCAUCCAAUCCUCCACAAACAGGAAGAAGGGUCUGUUGAACUUCACGACAAAGGGAGCUGCGAAACGGGGUGUUGAUCUUCCUGUUGCUAUCGAUAAAGAGCAUGUUCCUGUACUUCAGGUGUCCCUCUCUGUUCAAUUGCUUCAGCAUCUGGACGAUACUCUG